UUGUCAUCGUCUAUCAGCUGAUCUCAUAUGGUCUGUGGUUUUAUAUACAGGUUGGUUAGAACAUUUCCUUACCUUGUGGCUCACUUGCGAUACUUAGUUGUAAAAAACGCUACGACCUGAAUUACAGUAAGGAAGGAUCACAAAACAAAAUACUACAGAUAAUUACACAAUGGUAUAGUAUUCGUGCUGACUCCUGAUUUAGAGGAAUGAUGUUAGAGUUUUUUUUGUAAUAGCAUAAUACAGCUCCACCAAGCAAACAAGUCCCUCGGAAAAUAUGCAAACUAAUUUAGAAAUUUCGUGGCGGGAAAACGUUAAGCCAAUACCAACAACGCAGGCGUGUACAGUCCGUAAAAAAUGUGACAGUGACACAUUUAUAUAUUAAAUGUUUAUAAAAUGCGCUUGUUGCACCAAGUUUAUCCGUACGGCAAGAAAAGAGAAGCAAACCUCUGCAAUUGUGCAUUCCGAAGCCAGAAAUGUCAUUAAAAGGGUCGUGGAAUUCUUUGGCAAAGAGAAAGCUGCCGGUGUGUACAUAUUUCCUUUGGGAAAGGGAGCAUAACUAGCUGCUGCUGCGACCGGCAAACCAACAAAAUUCAUAACCCAAAUUAGAUCGAAGUCAAACUUGCCGAUGAUAUAGGACAUGGAAAUUUUCAUCAAAGAAGCAAGGAAGUGCAACUUCCUACAAAAUAACAUUGGAUAAUUCUGAUUUACGCGUCUUGAAGAAUGAAAUUUACAUGAUCCAUAACAAAGUCUCUACAAUCAAUAAUUUAGUUAAUAAAAUGAAGAAGAAGAUUGGCUGCAUUGAAAGUAAAGAUCACAUUUUUUGACGAAACCUACAUCCAUCCAUUUUAUGGAGUGCUUGCUAACAAAAUAUGAACCUGGUGUAUAUAAAACUGACUGAAGCAGGAUGAAAUCAAUUGAAAUGAAUUGAAAAUGCACAUCUCAUCAUCAAUUCGAAAAGUAUAAGUCUGGAUACGACAUAAUCCACAUUAAGAGAUUGGAAGAAUAAAUGUGGCAACGCCAUGGAUUGUUAGAUGAAGCUGUAGAAAGUUUAUCUUUCACGGUAAUCACUGGCACGUCAGGCGAAGGUUCUAAAAUCAGUGAAGAGGAAAGUGAGGGAUGAUACUGUUUAAUUAGUUUUAAAUACACACUGCUUUGUCAUUAGUAGUACUUAGGUAAAUUUUGUUAUUUUGGGUUGUAAUUAUUGUACUAAAUUUCUUUCUCCAGUUUUCAAACGUAGCUGCAUUAAAAAAAUGACAAAAUA